GAUGAACGCUGGCGGCGUGCCUAAUACAUGCAAGUCGAGCGAACAGACGAGGAGCUUGCUCCUCUGACGUCAGCGGCGGACGGGUGAGUAACAUGUGGAUAACCUACCUAUAAGACUGGGCUAACUUCGGGAAACCGGAGCUAAUACCGGAUAAUAUCUUGAACCGCAUGGUUCAAUAGUGACAGACGGUUUUGCUGUCACUUAUAGAUGUAUCCGCGCCGCAUUAGCUAGUUGGUAAGGUAACGGCUUACCAAGGCAACGAUGCGUAGCCGACCUGAGAGGGUGAGCGGCCACGCUGGAGCUGACACACGGCCCAGACACCUACGGGAGGCAGCAGUAGGGAAUCUUCCGCAAAGGGCGAAAGCCUGACGGAGCGACGCCGCGUGAGUGAUGAAGGUCUUCGGAUCGUAAAACUCUGUUAUUGGUGAAGAACAAAUGUGGAAGGAACUAUGCACGUCUUGACGGUACCUAAUCAGAAAGCCACGGCUAACUACGUG
rnacentral:rRNA from 1 species